CGGGUUCGUUCGCUCUCCUGCGCAGUCUGGGUUUGCCUUUUAAAGCAUGCGCUACGUGUUCUCCUGGCGCGUCCUCAAGCCGCAGGUGUUUCCUCCCUUGCCUGUCGGUGAUGCGCCCGCCUCGCCUCGCUCGCUGAAACUAGCAGAGCGGGGCUUCUU
rfam:Rhizobium lusitanum strain P1-7 genome assembly, contig: Ga0061101_105